rnacentral:lncRNA from 1 species
UUGUCUGUGACCUGUGGCCUUUGUCUGUGACCAUCUUGUGGCCACUGAGGCACACACUCAACCUGAAUCUGGUCCUCCAUUACUAACUCAGCUAAGGCUGGGUUUUCCCUGUGUUCUGUUUUGUGUGAGGACGUGCUGGGGUAUCACACGUGCUUUCCCUGCCAUGUCUGGUACCGCUAUGGCAGAAGGAAAAGGAGCUGAUGACCACAUGUCUACCGCAUUGGCAACCCUGUGCCAUUUGUUCUUCUCCCUGGGCUUCUCUCCCUCCUCUCUCUCUCUGCCGCGUGACUUUCCUCCAGGUUGGAUGUGUCCAUGGCUGUCUUGAAGCAGAGUGGCUAUGACGACCGAUGGGAGGCCCUCACGAGACCCUUGUGGAGGUGGAAGGCCGAUGAAAGACUCUCAGGAGGCCUUCAGAGGACCUCAUGAAGAUAUUUAAGAGGAGCUGCAGGAUGACGCUGGCUUUACAAGAGGAAACAAGUUCGGGUCACAGGUGUCUGUGCGUACGCGUCUUCUACCACCAGCAACUUUUGCACAAAACAAAAACCCUGGAGGCUGGAGACAGCUCAGUUGAUCAAGUUCUUGCUGUACAAGCAGGAGGCUGAAAAUACUCCC